CAGACCCAGGUUGGCUCUCAGAAAGUAUCUUUUAUUACUGGUUUGGGCUGGCUGUCCCUCAAGCCCUUUAGGGAUGAGUCAUCCCACACUGCUCUUCUUCCAGUUGGGGCAGUUGGUGCUCAUGCUCUAAGGGUUGCUGACUUUGAGGGGGAUGGUUGGCCAGGGACAGGAUGAUGAACUCAGUGGGCUUGGGUGCGAGUGGGUCUUGGAGGUUGCAGGGUCCAAUGCGUGGCAGCUGUGGUGGCGAGGCUUGGCUGCAGGACUCUUCCUUGCUGGCUCAUUGCUGGGGCUGAGAUGGGAGUGGGGCAUGGGUUGUGUCCCAGGGCCUAAGGCCUAGGGACUGGGGCAGUUCAUCUGCAAGACCAGUCACUCAACUCUUCCUCCAAAAGGUGCAGGUGAUGCUGUGCUGCCAGGGGCUGCUGAUUUUGCAGGGGAUGGUUGGCUAGGGAGGGGAUUGAACUCACUGGAAUUGCACCAGGAUAAACACGUCUCUCCUUAGGCCAGUUGUUCUCAGUCUUCCUAACCCUGCAGCCCUUUAUACAGUUCCUCAUGUCAUGGUGAUCCCUCCCCAACUAUAAAAUUACUUCAUUGCUACUUCAUAACUGUAAUUUUGAUGCUGUUAUGAAUUGUAUUGAAAAUAUCUGAUAUACAGGAUGCCUGACACUUGACCCAUGUGAUAGUGUCCUUGCACUGCCCCAAAGGGGUCAUAGCCCACAAAUUGAGAACCUCUCCCUUAAGCCAUGCUUUCUGGAUUUGCAUAACUGUUUUAUAAAAUAGGAUAAAAUAUUGUAGAUAGAAGUCAAGUCAGGUAAUUUACUAUAGGAAACCAGCAUAUCAUUUUACCUCUUAAGUCUUUAUAGAGAAGCUUGAAUAAUAGUUAACAUCAAGUUUAUACACAGUAGUAGCAUCUGCUAUGGGAAAAGCUAAUGUACAUUUUGCUACCUGGUGUAAUUCAUAUAAAAGAUGAGGUAGAGAUAAGUAUUUGUUAUGAGUACAGAACAAGGUCAUCUUUUAACUUUACUUGAAAAUGUCAGGUGAGUGAGAUCAGAGUCAAUCAGUUACCUAAGCAAAAUAGAUUCAUGGCAAGUACAGCCUCAGAUGGCAAACAUACCUUACAGCUUUCUAUAAACAAGCCCAGUUCCCUAUAGUACUCAUUCCAAAACUAUUAUCAAAUAUCCAUUCUUGAGUAAUCAUGAAACUAUUAAAAACAGUUUCAAAUAUUAGAGGAAGUACUUGCUCCCCUUAGUGAAGAGACUUUGAUGGCUUAGGGGCAAUAAUAUGACAAGAGGCAGAAUAAUGGAUCCAAGUUAUAUUGUGUGGCAAAUGGCACUAUAAAUAUUUACUUAAGGUCUUCCUUACUCAUCUAGACAAAGGCUGAAUGGCAGUAACACUCUUUCAGUUCACAGAGCAUUUGGACGACCAACUUCCUAACAAUCUCCUGUAAGUCCUGUUUGAAACAGUGUGGCCUCUUCUUGGAUGCUAAUUCUGAUUUUAGUCACAGAUGAAUCAAAGACAUUGCUUACAGUCUAUCAUCAAGGGAAACUAAGGCAAGAUCUCAAGACAGGGGCUUGAAACCAGAGGAGCGCUGCUCACUAGUCACCUCAGCUACCGUUUCUCUGUGGCCCAGGCUCACUUGCCUAAGGAUGGCACUACCUACAGAGGGCUGAGCCCUCAUCCAUCAAUUAGCAAUCAAAAAAUGCCAAAGAAACAUGCCUGCAAGCCAGUCUUUUGGUGUCAAUUCCUUAACUAUGUCUCAAGUAAACAGCCAAGAACAGCCAUAACAGCAAGCCAGAAAGGAGAAAAUAUAAACUUCAGCUUACUGCAAAGAAAAUUGACCCUCUAUGAAUAGGAUUCUAUGUCCAAAGUGAAAAUUCAAUGGUAGGAAGAGUAAUUUAAUACAAUUUAUGGAGGAAAAACAAAGCAAUACUUAAAAUAAUGAGUGACAAUAAGCCCUAGCCACAAAGGAAAAGUUGGUAUCUUUGACUAUUGAAACCCCUUCUGGAGGCUGCAGGUGGACAUGGGGAGGGGCUGUUGGCUGACAGCACCUUUGACCAUCCUUCCAGUGUUUUGGUGGAGGAGUUUCCAUCAGAAGACCUACUUCUUACUACAGAGACCAGGACCCAAAUACAAACCUGAGUCAGCAACUGCUUGCCAGAGCUUAGGUUCUAGAGAAAUGAAGGAGUCCAUUCUGCUUGAUGAUUUGGGGAAGCGGCAUCCCAUUUUAGGAGCCCUGGAUGUUGCGGUCUUCUAAAGCAGCACCAGGCACAUUGUAGAAAGCCAGUAUUCUUGGUGGCACACACUGCAGUGCCCAUGCUCAUCUUGGUAGUGUCAGUGGUGAGCUCUGGAAUAUGACUUGGUUCUCGAGUAUGAUUUAUUACCUGUUACUUCUGUCUUCAAAUCCUGCCUCUUUGACCCUCAGUAAACUUCAAAUCCUAAUAAACCAUUUUGCUUUGAAAACAA